rnacentral:rRNA from 1 species
UAGCGGGUGCCCAAACUUGCAGUCGAGCGAACAGAUAAGGAGCUUGCUCCUUUGACGUUAGCGGCGGACGGGUGAGUAACACGUGGGUAACCUACCUAUAAGACUGGGAUAACUUCGGGAAACCGGAGCUAAUACCGGAUAACAUUUGGAACCGCAUGGUUCUAAAGUGAAAGAUGGUUUUGCUAUCACUUAUAGAUGGACCCGCGCCGUAUUAGCUAGUUGGUAAGGUAACGGCUUACCAAGGCGACGAUACGUAGCCGACCUGAGAGGGUGAUCGGCCACACUGGAACUGAGACACGGUCCAGACUCCUACGGGAGGCAGCAGUAGGGAAUCUUCCGCAAUGGGCGAAAGCCUGACGGAGCAACGCCGCGUGAGUGAUGAAGGGUUUCGGCUCGUAAAACUCUGUUAUUAGGGAAGAACAAACGUGUAAGUAACUGUGCACGUCUUGACGGUACCUAAUCAGAAAGCCACGGCUAACUACGUGCCAGCAGCCGCGGUAAUACGUAGGUGGCAAGCGUUAUCCGGAAUUAUUGGGCGUAAAGCGCGCGUAGGCGGUUUCUUAAGUCUGAUGUGAAAGCCCACGGCUCAACCGUGGAGGGUCAUUGGAAACUGGGAAACUUGAGUGCAGAAGAGGAAAGUGGAAUUCCAUGUGUAGCGGUGAAAUGCGCAGAGAUAUGGAGGAACACCAGUGGCGAAGGCGACUUUCUGGUCUGUAACUGACGCUGAUGUGCGAAAGCGUGGGGAUCAAACAGGAUUAGAUACCCUGGUAGUCCACGCCGUAAACGAUGAGUGCUAGUGUUAGGGGUUUCCGCCCCUUAGUGCUGCAGCUACGCAUUAGCACUCGCUGGGGGAGUACGACGCAGUUGAACUCAAAGGAAUUGACGGGACCCCGCACAAGCG